rnacentral:rRNA from 1 species
UGAGAGUUCAAGAGGGCGUGAAACCGCUUAGAAGCAAACAGAUGGAGCUGAUGAAAAGUCGUGCGGGUUCAGUACUUCGAGCCGCCUCGCGUCAGCGGUGGAUUCCACACCGCCUGCUGAUUGUCGGUGCGGCCGAGGGAUGCAUUUCCGCCGAUGUGCACUGGAAGCUGUGCUGGCGCCGGAACAAGGCCGGUGAAUGAAAGCCGAUUUCGUUGGUCUCUCUUUGCCGGAGAAGGCCUGGUCGUCAGUACAGUGUUAGAGAAGCGCCCGCCUCUACUCUGCGGCGCCGGGAUCCCGGUCGGGUACUGUCGUUUCUUGCUUGCAAGGCUCGGCUGCUGCGGCCGGGGGAACGGGGUGUCAGAGUCGGCGUUAUUCCGGUGAUUCUGUCAGCCCCCCAUCUGACCCGUCUUGAAACACGGACCAAGGAGUCUAACAUGUGCGCGAGUCAUUGAGUGGUGAAACUCAGCGGCGCAAUGAAAGUGAAGUCUACUUCGGCUGGAUGAUAUGGGACCCGGUCCUUCGGGGACGGAGCACCAUAAUCCCGUUCGGUCUGCUUGUCAGACGGGCGGAGAUUGAGCGUACAUGCUGGGACCCGAAAGAUGGUGAACUAUGCCUGAGCAGGAUGAGGCCAGAGGAAACUCUGGUGGAGGUCCAUAGCGAUUCUGACGUGCA